rnacentral:rRNA from 1 species
UUCGGUGGUCAUAGCGUGAGGGAAACGCCCGGUCACAUUCUGAACCCGGAAGCUAAGCCUUUCAGCGCCGAUGGUACUGCAUGCGGGAGCGUGUGGGAGAGUAGGACGCCGCCGAAC